UCUGAUACUGGAUGGCUUGAAUUCGGGAGAGGGAUGCAGAAUUCCAGGUGUAGCGGUGAAAUGCGUAGAUAUCUGGAGGAAUACCGGUGGCGAAGGCGGCAUCCUGGACCGACAUUGACGCUGAUGAGCGAAAGCUAGGGGAGCAAACGGGAUUAGAUACCCCGGUAGUCCUAGCCCUAAACGAUGAAUGCUU
rnacentral:rRNA from 1 species